rnacentral:tRNA from 1 species
GUGUCCGUAGCUCAAUUGGCAGAGCAUUAGGCUACGAACUUAAAGGUUGGGAGUUCAAAUCUCUUCGGGCACU